GCUAGUGUGGUAUAGUGUUUAGGACAUUAGACAGGGCUCUGGAGAUCAGGGUUCAAAUCCCUAGUCAGCC